rnacentral:rRNA from 1 species
UACGUAGGGUGCAAGCGUUGUCCGGAAUUAUUGGGCGUAAAGAGCUCGUAGGCGGUUUGUCGCGUCUGCUGUGAAAACUCGGGGCUUAACUCCGGGCCUGCAGUGGGUACGGGCAGACUAGAGUGCGGUAGGGGAGACUGGAAUUCCUGGUGUAGCGGUGAAAUGACGCAGAUAUCAGGAGGAACACCGGUGGCGAAGGCGGGUCUCUGGGCCGUAACUGACGCUGAGGAGCGAAAGCGUGGGGAGCGAACAGG